rnacentral:rRNA from 1 species
AUUGAACGCUGGCGGCAUGCCUUACACAUGCAAGUCGAACGGUAACAGGUCUUCGGAUGCUGACGAGUGGCGAACGGGUGAGUAAUACAUCGGAACGUGCCCGAGAGUGGGGGAUAACGAAGCGAAAGCUUUGCUAAUACCGCAUACGAUCUCAGGAUGAAAGCAGGGGACCGCAAGGCCUUGCGCUCACGGAGCGGCCGAUGGCAGAUUAGGUAGUUGGUGGGAUAAAAGCUUACCAAGCCGGACGAUCUGUAGCUGGUCUGAGAGGACGACCAGCCACACUGGGACUGAGACACGGCCCAGACUCCCACGGAGGCAGCAGUGGGGAAUUUUGGGACAAUGGGCGCAAGCCUGAUCCAGCCAUGCCGCGUGCAGGAUGAAGGCC